GGGCUUUGUUUGCGCAGGAUAGGUGGGAGACGUUGAAAAUUUUCUUGCGGGAAGAUUGGAGCCGUUGGUGAGAUACCACUCUAACAAUGCUAGGAUUCUAACCCUACACCGUUAUCCGGUUAGGGGACAGUUUCAGGUGGUCAGUUUGACUGGGGCGGUCGCCUCCCAAAAGGUAACGGAGGCGUGCAAAGGUUUCCUCAGGCUGGUCGGAAAUCAGUCGUAGAGUGUAAAGGCAUAAGGAAGCUUGAUUGUGAGACCUACAAGUCGAACAAAGACGAAAGUCGGCCUUAGUGAUCCGACGGUUCCGAGUGGAAGGGCCGUCGCUCAACGGAUAAAAGUUACUCUAGGGAUAACAGGCUGAA
rnacentral:rRNA from 1 species